AAGAAAUUUGGAGUUACAAAGAGACACAAGGAAGAAGGUCAUGUAAUGACAGAGGCAGAGAUUGGAGUUACGGGGUCACAAGCCAAGUAAGGCCAAGGAUUGCAAGCCACAAGCUGGGAAGAGACAAUACAGGACUCCUCCCUUCAGAGGGAGCAUGGCUCAGCCAACGCCUUGAUUUUGGACUUGUAGCCUCCAGAACGGUCAUCAUUUGUAUCAUCAGAACGAGAAACCAAGAAUGAGUCACAGACAAGAGGAAAUGAAGACAAUUGUAGCACAGUUUAUAUGUCAGAUUUGUGGUGCCAAGUCCUUUACAAGCCUUUUACAUGUGUUCUGGUAUUUUGCUAAUGUAGCUACAAUAUCUCCAGGGCCUUAACAUCCUUUCUUUCGUCUCUCAAAUGACCUAUAAAAGAUGGUUAGAAGAACAUAGAAUAAAAAAAGAAAAUGAC